rnacentral:misc_RNA from 1 species
GUUUGUGAUUGGCUGCUGACAACAAGAACAGAAUUGUGGGAGAAGAACAGUAAAGAUGAGAACACAACAGCUUCACAGACAGAAAUGAUAGCAUUCCAACAGGACUUGAACAGUCUGAGGAAACUAGCUCAAGCUCAUAAAAACAUUUUAUCAAAGGUGUUCUUGCAUGAAGCCACAGCUAGAAUGAUGGCAGGUGCUAGUCCAGCUAGAACUCAACAGCUUUUGGACAGAAGCAUACGCAGGAGGCAUACAAGCAAAACUGAUAAAGAUGGUUCAGAGCACUCGGAAAGUGACAGAGACCAAGCCAAAGCCUUACUAAUGGCUGGUAAACAUUUACCAGAAAACAUGCUGCCAUGUAAUGAGGAUAGAAUAGCCCUGAUAUCUGAGGCCAGCAAAAUGUACGAGUCCCUGGGAGACAAGAAAUCCCUACAGAACUGUCGUCAAAUGAUCAUGCAGUUCGAGGACAAAGUGUCGGCACAGACUGUCCUUUGUUAGUGAAUGAUAACUGUGAUACCUUCAUUUUUCAUUGGAGUGAAAGAAUAAUUUAUUUUGUGAACAUCAUUUUUGUUGUGGGCCUUUAUUUUGUAUGGAGCUUGUGUAAAUAUGCAUCAUGAUCAUGAAAUUCAUCAAGUACUAUUGUAUUAAAAAAUACAUUCAUGU